CUCGGCAAACAAAAGCCUCGCCUGUUUACCAAAAACAUCGCCUCUUGCCUGACUAAGUAUAAGAGGUCCCGCCUGCCCUGUGACUAUACGUUUAACGGCCGCGGUAUCUUAACCGUGCAAAGGUAGCGCAAUCACUUGUCUUUUAAAUGAAGACCUGUAUGAAUGGCACGACGAGGGCUUAACUGUCUCCUUUUUCUAGUCAAUGAAAUUGAUCCCCCCGUGCAGAAGCGGGGAUAAGAACAUAAGACGAGAAGACCCUGUGAAGCUUUUAGACGAUAGACAGCCCAAACUAACUACCCCCCUUAAAAGGAUUAAAGCACUGGACCCUGCCUUGAUGUCUUCGGUUGGGGCGACCACGGAGAAACAAAAAACCCCCAUGUGGAUUAGAAGCAUUAACCCUUCACCCCCCCUUCUACAAUUAAGAGCCACAACUCAAAAUAACAAAAUCUUUGACCAAACAUGAUCCGGCAACGCCGAUCAACGAACCAAGUUACUCCAGGGAUAACAGCGCAAUCCCCUUCUAGAGUCCAUAUCGACAAGGGGGCUUACGACCUCGAUGUUGGAUCAGGACAUCCUAAUGGUGCAGCCGCUAUUAAGGGUUCGUUUGUUCAAC
rnacentral:rRNA from 1 species